GUGGGGAAUAUUGGACAAUGGGCGAAAGCCUGAUCCAGCCAUGCCGCGUGUGUGAAGAAGGUCUUCGGAUUGUAAAGCACUUUAAGUUGGGAGGAAGGGCAGUAAGUUAAUACCUUGCUGUUUUGACGUUACCGACAGAAUAAGCACCGGCUAACUUCGUGCCAGCAGCCGCGGUAAUACGAAGGGUGCAAGCGUUAAUCGGAAUUACUGGGCGUAAAGCGCGCGUAGGUGGUUUUGUAAGUUGGAGGUGAAAUCCCCGGGCUCAACCUGGGAACUGACUCCAAAACUGCAUGACUAGAGUGCGGUAGAGGGUAGUGGAAUUUCCUGUGUAGCGGUGAAAUGCGUAGAUAUAGGAAGGAACACCAGUGGCGAAGGCGACUACCUGGACUGAUACUGACACUGAGGUGCGAAAGCGUGGGGAGCAAACAGGAUUAGAUACCCGAGUAGUCC
rnacentral:rRNA from 1 species